AACCCAUGGUGAGGACACCGUCUUUAUAAGUCCUUAUACCUCUCCCAUGCGUCAUAUAGAGUUUUUAAGUCAAUCUAAACGAAGGAAGAGAUAUCAUUCCUCAACUU
rnacentral:snoRNA from 1 species